rnacentral:lncRNA from 1 species
AGAAAGUUCAUUGAUUGCAUUUUCAAACUAUUAAUUCGGUUAGUCUCUAAUUAAUGGACACUUUUGCAUCAUGGUGAUGAACCACAAUCCCAACUGAGAAAUUUGUCCUUUGAUCAUAAAUAUAUACAAGAAGUAUCAGUACUCUUUGUUCAUAUUUAUUAGUUUGUUUUCAAUAAGUUAAUUUGGUAGCAGUGUAUAAUUGACUGUGACUCUGGGAUUUAUGUUGUAGAAGCCAUGCUAUUUAAUUUCUGACAAUGUUAAUCUAGAAUAUUAUGUUUGAGACCAGUGGCGGAUCCAGCAAAUUUUAUCUUUGAGGGCAAAAUUAAGCUCUAAAUAUAUAUGACUACAAAUGGCUUUCAUUAGUAGCAAAAAAAAAAAACAAUAUUAUCAAUCAUAAUUAUAAUGUUAUUAUUAAUACAGUCAAAUACACUUUUAUCAGGUAUUGUGUAUCAAUAUUUGGAUAUUAGUACAAAAUUUGAAGUUUGAGAAAUUAGAUCUCAUAUUGAUCAGGUAUUGUGUAUCAAUAUUUGGCUAUUAGUUAAUUUCUUUAUUUUUGCUUUUAAAUGACUCUCAAG